AUAGAGAAUAGUUAGUGGCAGACGGGUGAGUAAUGCAUAGGAAUCUACCUAGUAGUAUGGGAUAGCCACUAGAAAUGGUGGGUAAUACUGUAUAAUCCCUGCGGGGGAAAGAUUUAUCGCUAUUAGAUGAGCCUAUGUUAGAUUAGCUAGUUGGUAGGGUAAAGGCCUACCAAGGCGAUGAUCUAUAGCUGGUCUGAGAGGAUGAUCAGCCACACUGGAACUGAGAUACGGUUCAGACUCCUACGGGAGGCAGCAGUGGGGAAUAUUGGACAAUGGGCGCAAGCCUGAUCCAGCUAUGCCGCGUGAGUGAGGAAGGCCUUAGGGUUGUAAAACUCUUUCAGUAGGGAAGAUAAUGACGGUACCUACAGAAGAAGUCCCGGCAAACUCCGUGCCAGCAGCCGCGGUAAUACGGAGGGGGCAAGCGUUGUUCGGAAUUAUUGGGCGUAAAGGGCAUGUAGGCGGUUCGGUAAGUUAAAGGUGAAAUGCCAGGGCUUAAC
rnacentral:rRNA from 1 species